rnacentral:rRNA from 1 species
UGGGGAAUUUUGGACAAUGGGCGAAAGCCUGAUCCAGCCAUGCCGCGUGAGUGAAGAAGGCCUUCGGGUUGUAAAGCUCUUUUAGUCGGAAAGAAAGAGUUGCAAUGAAUAAUUGUGAUUUAUGACGGUACCGACAGAAAAAGCACCGGCUAACUACGUGCCAGCAGCCGCGGUAAUACGUAGGGUGCGAGCGUUAAUCGGAAUUACUGGGCGUAAAGCGUGCGCAGGCGGUUUGUUAAGUCUGCUGUGAAAUCCCCGAGCUCAACUUGGGAAUUGCAGUGGAUACUGGCAAGCUGGAGUACGGUAGAGGAAGGUGGAAUUCCCGGUGUAGCAGUGAAAUGCGUAGAGAUCGGGAGGAACACCAGUGGCGAAGGCGGCCUUCUGGACCAGUACUGACGCUCAUGCACGAAAGCGUGGGGAGCAAACA